UGGGCUGGACGUAUCACAAGUGCGAAUGCUGACAUAAGUAACGAUAAAACGGGUGAAAAACCCGUUCGCCGGAAGACCAAGGGUUCCUGUCCAACGUUAAUCGGGGCAGGGUAAGUCGGCUCCUAAGGCGAGGCUGAAAAGCGUAGUCGAUGGGAAACAGGUUAAUAUUCCUGUACUUGGUAAAGCUGCGAUGUGGGGACGGAGUAGGUUAGGUUAUCGCACUGUUGGAUAUGUGCGUUUAAGUUGGUAGGUGGGAAGUUUAGGCAAAUCCGGACUUCCUUAACACAGAGAGAUGAUGACGAGGCUCUACGGAGCUGAAGUAACUGAUACCACACUUCCAGGAAAAGCCACUAAGCGAAAGGCUUUACUAAACCGUACUGAAAACCGACACAGGUGGUCAGGUAGAGAAUACUCAGGCGCUUGAGAGAACUCGGGUGAAGGAACUAGGCAAAAUAGCACCGUAACUUCGGGAGAAGGUGCGCCGGCGUAGAUUGUAAGGGCUAGCCCCUGAAGGUUGAACCGGUCGAAGUGACCAGCUGGCUGCAACUGUUUAUUAAAAACACAGCACUCUGCAAACACGAAAGUGGAGGUAUAGGGUGUGAUGCCUGCCCGGUGCUGGAAGGUUAAUUGAUGGUGUCAUCGCAAGAGAAGCACCUGAUCGAAGCCCCAGUAAACGGCGGCCGUAACUAUAACGGUCCUAAGGUAGCGAAAUUCCUUGUCGGGUAAGUUCCGACCUGCACGAAUGGCAUAAUGAUGGCCAGGCUGUCUCCACCCGAGACUCAGUGAAAUUGAAAUCGCCGUGAAGAUGCGGUGUACCCGCGGCUAGACGGAAAGACCCCGUGAACCUUUACUAUAGCUUGACACUGAACAUUGAAUUUUGAUGUGUAGGAUAGGUGGGAGACUAAGAAGAUGAUACGCCAGUAUUGUUGGAGUCGACCUUGAAAUACCACCCUUUAACGUUUGAUGUUCUAACGAAGAUUGCGGAACGUGGUCUCGGACAGUGUCUGGUGGGUAGUUUGACUGGGGCGGUCUCCUCCCAAAGCGUAACGGAGGAGCACGAAGGUUUGCUAAUCACGGUCGGACAUCGUGAGGUUAGUGCAAUGGUAUAAGCAAGCUUAACUGCGAGACAGACAAGUCGAGCAGGUACGAAAGUAGGUCAUAGUGAUCCGGUGGUUCUGAAUGGAAGGGCCAUCGCUCAACGGAUAAAAGGUACUCCGGGGAUAACAGGCUGAUACCGCCCAAGAGUUCAUAUCGACGGCGGUGUUUGGCACCUCGAUGUCGGCUCAUCACAUCCUGGGGCUGAAGUAGGUCCCAAGGGUAUGGCUGUUCGCCAUUUAAAGUGGUACGCGAGCUGGGUUUAGAACGUCGUGAGACAGUUCGGUCCCUAUCUGCCGUGGGCGUAGGAGAAUUGUUGGGGCUGCUCCUAGUACGAGAGGACCGGAGUGGACG
rnacentral:rRNA from 1 species